AGGAUUCAAUAAUGAUCACUCAGAACCUCAAGGAGCAAGGUGACGUUGAAGAGGUAUUUAAAAGGAGCUCUGUUUUCAAGUUGCUUAAUAUCUAGCUGAGAGCUUGCUGAGAACCUUGCUGGAUUUUUGUCUGAGCUCAAGUCAUGCCUGCUUCUGUCUGAUGAUUUACUAAAUUGUUCACAUGACUUGGAAGACAGAGAUGGCUGAAAGCACAUUAUAGCCCAAUGAAAGGAAAUUCAAGGAAAUUAUAAAGUGCCUCCUAAAGACCUCUUCAGAUAUCUGUGUGCCUCCCCUUCAGAAAGAAAGUUUCCUCUUGGCACAUAAAGAAGUGAAAUUAGGCCCAGAAGAGACUUUCCUUGUUGGAGCGUGAAUGUCAAAGAAACAAUCUUCAGUAAAACAGCUUUCUCUCUCAGCAUGCUCUGGAGAGAAGAACAACUUUGGAUGGUGGUGAUGCCUGUGCAGAGCAUAGUAGAGCUGCCAUUUACUGAGAUGACAGGAACGGAUGAAGAAAAAGGCUAAAGCAGUUAGAAAUAAAGAACUAUACUCAGGUGUCAGAUACAUGUCGCGGUGUUUCAGCCUGGAAUUCAUCAUCGUUCUGAUACAUCAACACUGACAUAUUACAUCUUCAUCUCUUAUGAUAGAAAAUGGAAAUGAAACCAGAAUGUGAGCUCGUUGAAUGACUUGGACUCCCCAGAGAUUUGGAGGAGAAGAAAACCUCCCACUCGCCUUUGACUUUUGGAUUUCUUGUUGCCUUCAUGUUUGGAUUGCACUUUGAGAAGUCCAUCUGGAAGUUCACUUUGUAU